GACGUAGGGCGCGAGCGUUGUCCGGAUUUAUUGGGCGUAAAGAGCUCGUAGGCGGUGUGUCGCGUCGGCCGUGAAAACCUGGGGCUUAACUCUGGGCGUGCGGUCGAUACGGGCAUCACUAGAGUUCGGCAGGGGAGACUGGAAUUCCUGGUGUAGCGGUGAAAUGCGCAGAUAUCAGGAGGAACACCGGUGGCGAAGGCGUGUCUCUGGGCCGAUACUGACGCUGAGGAGCGAAAGCAUGGGUAGCGAACAGG
rnacentral:rRNA from 1 species